rnacentral:tRNA from 1 species
AACGACAUAAUUUAAUCAAAAUAAUAGAUUGUGAUUCUUAUUAAUGAAAGUUAAAAUCUUUCUGUCCUUC